rfam:Sus scrofa isolate TJ Tabasco breed Duroc chromosome 4, whole genome shotgun sequence.
CUCUGGUAAGUCUAGUGGCUAGAAUUCCUGGUUUUAAACCAGGCUGUCCAGGUUCAAUUCAUGAGCAGAGA